rnacentral:rRNA from 1 species
AAUGCUUGGGAACUUGCCUUUGCGAGGGGGAUAACAGUUGGAAACGACUGCUAAUACCGCAUAAUGUCUACGGACCAAACGGGGCUUAGGCUCCGGCGCAAAGAGAGGCCCAAGUGAGAUUAGCUAGUUGGUAAGGUAAAGGCUUACCAAGGCAACGAUCUCUAGCUGUUCUGAGAGGAAGAUCAGCCACACUGGGACUGAGACACGGCCCAGACUCCUACGGGAGGCAGCAGUGGGGAAUAUUGCACAAUGGGGGAAACCCUGAUGCAGCCAUGCCGCGUGUGUGAAGAAGGCCUUCGGGUUGUAAAGCACUUUCAGUUGUGAGGAAAAGUUAGUAGUUAAUACCUGCUAGCCGUGACGUUAACAACAGAAGAAGCACCGGCUAACUCCGUGCCAGCAGCCGCGGUAAUACGGAGGGUGCGAGCGUUAAUCGGAAUUACUGGGCGUAAAGCGCACGCAGGCGGUUUGUUAAGCUAGAUGUGAAAGCCCCGGGCUCAACCUGGGAUGGUCAUUUAGAACUGGCAGACUAGAGUCUUGGAGAGGGGA